rnacentral:rRNA from 1 species
GACGAACGCUGGCGGCGUGCUUAACACAUGCAAGUCGAACGGUAAGGCCCUUCGGGGUACACGAGUGGCGAACGGGUGAGUAACACGUGGGUGAUCUGCCCUGCACUUCGGGAUAAGCCUGGGAAACUGGGUCUAAUACCGGAUAGGACUCCUGGCUUCAUGGUUGGGGGUGGAAAGCUUUUGCGGUGUGGGAUGGGCCCGCGGCCUAUCAGCUUGUUGGUGGGGUGAUGGCCUACCAAGGCGACGACGGGUAGCCGGCCUGGGGGGGUGUCCGGCCACACUGGGACUGAGAUACGGCCCAGACUCCUACGGGAGGCAGCAGUGGGGAAUAUUGCACAAUGGGCGCAAGCCUGAUGCAGCGACGCCGCGUGAGGGAUGACGGCCUUCGGGUUGUAAACCUCUUUCAGCAUCGACGAAGCGAAAGUGACGGUAGGUGCAGAAGAAGGACCGGCCAACUACGUGCCAGCCGCCGCAGUAA